rnacentral:rRNA from 1 species
CCUACGGGGGGCAGCAGUGGGGAAUUUUCCGCAAUGGGCGAAAGCCUGACGGAGCAACGCCGCGUGAGGGAUGAAGGCCUCUGGGCUGUAAACCUCUUUUCUCAAGGAAGAAGAUCUGACGGUACUUGAGGAAUAAGCCACGGCUAAUUCCGUGCCAGCAGCCGCGGUAAUACGGGAGUGGCAAGCGUUAUCCGGAAUCAUUGGGCGUAAAGCGUCCGCAGGCGGCCUUGUAAGUCUGCCGUUAAAGCGUGGAGCUUAACUCCAUUUCAGCGGUGGAAAC